rnacentral:rRNA from 1 species
AUUGAACGCUGGCGGCAGGCCUAACACAUGCAAGUCGAGCGGCAGCACAAGUGAGUUUACUCAUGAGGUGGCGAGCGGCGGACGGGUGAGUAAUGCCUAGGGAUCUGCCCUGUCGAGGGGGAUAACAGUUGGAAACGACUGCUAAUACCGCAUACGCUCUACGGGGGAGAGAGGGGGACUUUCGGGCCUCUCGCGAUCGGAUGAACCUAGGUGGGAUUAGCUAGUUGGUGAGGUAAUGGCUUACCAAGGCGACGAUCCCUAGCAGGUCUGUGAGGAUGAUCAGCCACACUGGGACUGAGGCACGGCCCAGACUCCUACGGGGGGCAGCAGUGGGGAAUAUUGCACAAUGGGGGAAACGCUGAUGCAGCCAUGCCGCGUGUGUGAAGAAGGCCUUCGGGUUGUAAAGCACUUUCAGUAGGGAGGAAAGGUUGAAAGUUAAUACCUUGCAGCUGUGACGUUACCUACAGAAGAAGGACCGGCUAACUCCGUGCCAGCAGCCGCAGUAAAAC